CCGUGUGUGUGUGUGUGUUUCAGCAGAGGCCCCUGCAGCCUGCAAGGGGCCCUCUGUAUGAGGGGCGAUUAAUGCCUCCGAGAGGCAGGCAAACAGGAAGGAGAUCAUUAAAGUAUGCUAAUGAUUUGCUUACCAAAGUUCAGAUAAGAUGUUAAUAGAACACAAAAU